rnacentral:lncRNA from 12 species
CUCUCAUCCCAUUUUAUCCCCACGGCUGCCACCCUGGCUGCCAUGGACUGGCCCUCAGACCUCACAGCCAGCCCCACGGUGCGCCGAGGUGGCCAGGGGCAGCAGUUCGGGGUUAGCCAGCCCCAGGGGGACCCCCCACGUUGGGAUUUGUGUCUCCGGAAGAGGAGACCCCAGAGCUGUCCCCCUCUGCCUCCCUCCCUCUGCACCAUGCGAGCGAGCGCAGGGUCACAGGGCUCUUUCACGGUGGACGUCCGGCCUCAGAACCACAAGAAAUAAAUUGCUGUUUAGGCCGCCGGCCGGUGGCACCUUUCCAGCAGCCUGAAUUGGGAGGACGGUGGUGGCUCCUCCCCUGUUUUCUAGCAGGAGCCCUAAAUUCUCUCCAAGUGUAUGAGCUACUUGGUGUUAAUAGGUCCCCGGGUGACUGCGCAGCAACGCACAGUGCAGCAUCUAGCUCCGGCCUGCUUGGGGCAGUGGCAUUCGGGCGUCAGAGGGUUGAAGCUUUAACCCCAGACGUCAGUGCUGAUCUGUUUCCCGCGUGGAAGGCACAGUCGGGGGGCUCAGAGAGGGCCACCUUCCAGACGUGGUGGCCACGGGCCCUGCCGUCUGCUGCGCCGUCCACCGCUGGUCCUUCGCCGACUCCUACCUGCGAGGGUGUCGAGAAUAGGGUGCUUUUCAUGGUAGUUGGAAACCUAAGGAGCACGAGGAUUCGUGAGUUGCCGUGAUUUAGAGACACCCCACCCUGGCAUGGAUCGGGUGACUCGGCCUGCACCUCCUCCGGGGGGAUGUUGGGAGCCGCUGGGUUUAUGGGGGGCCCGGCUGGUGAGAGAGGCUGCGGGCGCCCCAGGGGCGGGAGGACGCCUUGAAGAAAAGGCAGGAAGCCGGUUCCUGUCUUCCCGUUCCCCUUCUCUAGGCCAGGGGCCAGCAACACGGCCUCCAGGCCAAAGCCGGCCCGUGUGACGUUUGAUGGGCCGCAGCCAGCCGCGCCCGUUCACCCACGUGGUCCGUGGCUGCUGCAGACGUGAGCAGGUGUCACGGGCCCCACCCGGCUCCCAGACUGUGGACGUCGGGUCCUGCCCUGAGCCCUCUGAAAUCCUGAUGAGGUGGCAGAGGCCGGUGCUCGUGGCUUUGCUCUGUGAGCUCAGUGUUCGCGGACUCCUGACCCGCCCGCAGGGAGUUCCCGGCAGGCCCAGGAUCGUGUUUCCCCUCUCAGGAAACCAUUUCACCAGGAGGCGAUGCCCUUCCCCAGAGAAGCACAGCCAGCCGUGCUGUAGGAUCCGUGUCCGGCCCUCAGAGCCUCCGUCUUCUGCAAGCAAGAGGGACCGUCCACUCGGGGAGGAGGUGGGGAACCCGCGCCCUCCCACAGGCUCCGAGCCCCAGGGGCAGAGCAAGCCCAGGAAACCGUGCUGUGCUGACCAGGUGGCAGCCAGGGUUUGUGUCUUGCAGUUUGCUGGAUGGAAGUGUCAUUCCCAAUGCAGACCUUUGGUUUUACAGGGCGCUGUUUGA